UCUCGUUUUGGUGACUCCUCUUAUGUGGUC
rnacentral:piRNA from 1 species